GACGAACCGAGCGAACGUUGUUCGGAAUCACUGGGCUUAAAGGGCGCGUAGGCGGGUGCUCAAGUCCGUGGUGAAAUCCUCCGGCUCAACCGGAGAACUGCCUCGGAUACUGGGCGUCUCGAGUGUGGUAGGGGUAUGCGGAACUAUCGGUGGAGCGGUGAAAUGCGUAGAUAUGCGGAGGAACACCGAUGGCGAAGGCAAUCCCCUGGGCCUGCACUGACGCUCAUGCACGAAAGCGUGGGGAGCAAACAGG
rnacentral:rRNA from 1 species